rnacentral:misc_RNA from 1 species
GUGAACGCCCUCACGGGCUUAUACUAUUCCAAACCUCUGUGAACCGUGCCCUUCGGGGCUAUUUUACAAACAUGGUGUAAUGAACGUCAUAUAUCAUAACAAGACA